GACGUAGGGCGCGAGCGUUGUCCGGAUUUAUUGGGCGUAAAGAGCUCGUAGGCGGCUUGUCGCGUCGACUGUGAAAACCCGAGGCUCAACUUCGGGCUUGCAGUCGAUACGGGCAGGCUAGAGUUCGGUAGGGGAGACUGGAAUUCCUGGUGUAGCGGUGAAAUGCGCAGAUAUCAGGAGGAACACCGGUGGCGAAGGCGGUCUCUGGGCCGUAACUGACGCUGAGGAGCGAAAGCUGGGGAGCGAACAG
rnacentral:rRNA from 1 species